UACGUAGGAUGCGAGCGUUAUCCGGAUUUAUUGGGUUUAAAGGGUGCGUAGGCGGAUCGUUAAGUCAGUGGUCAAAUUGAGGGGCUCAACCCCUUCCCGCCAUUGAAACUGGCGAUCUUGAGUGGAAGAGAAGUAUGCGGAAUGCGUGGUGUAGCGGUGAAAUGCAUAGAUAUCACGCAGAACCCCGAUUGCGAAGGCAGCAUGCCGGCUUCCUACUGACGCUGAAGCACGAAAGCGUGGGGAUCGAACAGG
rnacentral:rRNA from 1 species